UACGGAGGGUGCGAGCGUUGUCCGGAAUCACUGGGCGUAAAGGGCGCGUAGGCGGCGCGGUAAGCGGGCGGUGAAAGCCCGGGGCUCAACCCCGGGUCGGCCGUGCGGACUGCCGCGCUGGAGCACUGUAGAGGCGGGUGGAAUUCCGGGUGUAGCGGUGGAAUGCGUAGAGAUCCGGAAGAACACCGGUGGCGAAGGCGGCCCGCUGGGCAGUGGCUGACGCUGAGGCGCGACAGCGUGGGGAGCAAACAGG
rnacentral:rRNA from 1 species